UGUUUUUUAACCAUAUUUUAC
rnacentral:piRNA from 1 species